GCGGGCCGACGCGGACGCCCGUUCAGGCGACCCGUUGCCCAAGUUCCGC
rnacentral:ncRNA from 1 species